GACGAACGCUGGCGGCGAGCCUCGUACAUGCAAGUCGAACGAUAAGGCCCUUCGGGGUACAUAAGUGGCGGACGGGUGAGUAAUGCGUAGGAAAUCUGCCUUAAGGUGAGGGACAACCUCGGGAAACUGGGGCUAAUACCUCAUAUGUGGUAAUUUGAAAUAGUUAUCAUGAAAGAUUCAUUGCCUUAAGAUGAGCCUGCGUCUGAUUAGCUAGUUGGUAGGGUAAUGGCUUACCAAGGCGACGAUCAGUAGCUGGUUUGAGAGGAUGAUCAGCCACAAUGGGACUGAGACACGGCCCAUACUCCUACGGGAGGCAGCAGUAGGGAAUUUUGCGCAAUGGGCGAAAGCCUGACGCAGCUACGCCGCGUGAGCGAUGAAGCCCUUUGGGGUGUAAAGCUCAGUCAGUGGGGACGAAAAUUGACGGUACCCACAGAGGAAGCAUCGGCUAACUACGUGCCAGCCGCCGCGGUAA
rnacentral:rRNA from 1 species